AUGGAAUGCCAGCAAUUUUUUUCAAGAGAUUUUGGGAUUGUGGGAAGCCAAGUAACAAGAGAGGUGUUGCAUGUUCUGAAUGGAGGAUAUAUGCCAGAAGAUUGGAACAACACGACAAUUGUGCUGAUCCCCAAGACAAUAAGACCAGAAAGCGUGAAGGAUUUAAGACCCAUAAGUCUCUGCAACGUCUUAUAUAAAGUGGUAUCAAAGGUAAUUGCAAACAGACUCAAAUUUGUCUUACCUGACAUCAUCUCUCCAAAUCAAAGCGCAUUCGAACCAGGCCGCAUGAUUUCCGAUAACAUUUUGCUUGCUUAUGAAUUAACCCACUUUAUUAAAAGAAGAAUAUUUGGACCAAAAGGUGUUGCUGCAUUAAAACUGGACAUGAGCAAAGCAUAUGAUAGAGUAGAAUGGAAGUUUCUUGAAGACAUGAUGAUAAAACUAGGAUUUAGAAGGGUCUGGGUCCAGCUGAUAAUGAAGUGCAUAACUAGUGUAAAAUACCAAAUUAAGGUAAACCAGGGCAAAACUGAUGUGAUCGUACCUCAGAGGGGACUACACCAAGGAGAUCCUUUAUCCCCAUACCUGUUUUUGUUUUGCGCUGAAGGUUUCUCUGCAAUGUUAAAUGAAGCUGAAGCAAAUGGAAGGCUCAGAGGCAUAGAAUAUGCAGAAAUGCCCCCAGUGUUAGCCACCUCCUCGUUGCGGAUGACUCAUUAUUGUUAA
rnacentral:rRNA from 1 species